rnacentral:rRNA from 1 species
GAUGAACGCUGGCGGCGUGCCUAAUACAUGCCAGUCGAGCGAACAGAUGAGGAGCUUGCUCCUCUGACGUUAGCGGUGGACGGGUGAGUAACACGUGGAUAACCUACCUAUAAGACUGGGAUAACUUCGGGAAACCGGAGCUAAUACCGGAUAAUAUAUUGAACCGCAUGGUUCAAUAGUGAAAGACGGUUUUGCUGUCACUUAUAGAUGGAUCCGCGCCGCAUUAGCUAGUUGGUAAGGUAACGGCUUACCAAGGCAACGAUGCGUAGCCGACCUGAGAGGGUGAUCGGCCACACUGGAACUGAGACACGGUCCAGACUCCUACGGGAGGCAGCAGUAGGGAAUCUUCCGCAAUGGGCGAAAGCCUGACGGAGCAACGCCGCGUGAGUGAUGAAGGUCUUCGGAUCGUAAAACUCUGUUAUUAGGGAAGAACAAAUGUGUAAGUAACUAUGCACGUCUUGACGGUACCUAAUCAGAAAGCCACGGCUAACUACGUG